UGAGUAACGCGUGAGCAACCUGCCUCACAGAGGGGGAUAACACACGGAAACGUGUGCUAAUACCGCAUAAUCCGAUGAAGCGGCAUCGCUUUAUCGGCAAAGGAGCAAUCCGCUGUGAGAUGGGCUCGCGUCCGAUUAGAUAGUUGGUGAGGUAACGGCUCACCAAGUCUACGAUCGGUAGCCGGACUGAGAGGUUGGACGGCCACAUUGGGACUGAGACACGGCCCAAACUCCUACGGGAGGCAGCAGUGAGGGAUAUUGCACAAUGGGCGAAAGCCUGAUGCAGCGACGCCGCGUGAGGGAUGACGGUCUUCGGAUUGUAAACCUCUGUCCUUGGUGAAGAAGAAAGUGACGGUAGCCAAGGAGGAAGCCACGGCUAACUACGUGCCAGCAGCCGCGGUAAUACGUAGGUGGCAAGCGUUGUCCGGAAUUACUGGGUGUAAAGGGAGCGUAGGCGGGCUUGCAAGUCAGCUGUGAA
rnacentral:rRNA from 1 species